CGGGGCGGCCCCCCCGCGGGCGCCUCUCCCCGGCGGUGACCAUGCCCAUUCCCCGCCACAGGAGGGGAUUACGCAAGGCAGCCUGCGCCUCAUCUGCAUACACUUACAGGCUGGGUAUUCCCCGCAUUUCCUAACGGCGUGUCACCGACAAAGGCCUGUGCCCGGACCCGGCCUCCUCCUAUGCCGGCUCAGCGGGGCGGCAGGCUGGGCCGACCCGGGCCGGGGGAAGGGCCUCCGGCCGUGGUGCCCCGGGGACGGCGCCGGUGACUACCAGUGCCCUGAGCCGCCGCCACAGAGUAAAACUGCAAAAUACCUGGGGAUGCUGGGACGAUGAAUACCCAGCAAGGAUGAGUGUCCCUACCACCAGCACUUCCUCAGGGACUCCUGGAGAGCCGGAGGGAGCACCUGCAGCAGCUCUGGGGCUGGGAAGGCCAGUGCCCCAGGCAUCCUUCCAAUACCUUCUUUCAUCACUGAUCCAGAGGGAAGUGUGCCACCUACUGAAGGACCUCAGCCACGUCCUACACCUAUGGGACUUUCUGAAGAGCUUUUCCUUUCCUGAACACUACUGAUUUGAAUAAGGAAUUAGUCUUCGGUGAAAGACAUGAGAAAACACACUCCAGGCUAGCUCUGUCUAAUUUAUGUGUAAGCAGUCUAAUUAGAGAUAAAAAUCA